rnacentral:rRNA from 1 species
GAUCCUGGCUCAGGAUGAACGCUAGCUACAGGCCUAACACAUGCAAGUCGAGGGGCAGCAUGAUUGAAGCUUGCUUCAAUUGAUGGCGACCGGCGCACGGGUGAGUAACACGUAUCCAACCUUCCGCUGACUCGGGGAUAGCCUUUCGAAAGAAAGAUUAAUACCCGAUAGUAAAGGAAUUUCCGUCCAUGGAGUAUUCUUUUAAAGGUAAGUUCCGGUUCCGAGCGAUGGGGAGUGCGUUCCUAUUAGUAUAG